rnacentral:rRNA from 1 species
AAUACGUAGGGUGCGAGCGUUGUCCGGAAUUAUUGGGCGUAAAGGGCUCGUAGGCGGUUUGUCGCGUCGGGAGUGAAAUCCACUGGCUUAACUGGUGGCUUGCUUUCGAUACGGGCAGACUGGAGGUAUGCAGGGGAGAACGGAAUUCCUGGUGUAGCGGUGAAAUGCGCAGAUAUCAGGAGGAACACCGGUGGCGAAGGCGGUUCUCUGGGCAUGUCCUGACGCUGAGGAGCGAAAGUGUGGGGAGCGAACAG